UGAAUGUUAAAUGGAGGGAAAACAGCUGAACUUGCCUCUGCUAUGCCUUGCUCUGACAUGCUGAAAUGGCAUAUCUGUCUUGCUUAGGAGUGAAGCUCAUUAAAGUUGUUCUUGCAAAAGGCUUUACCCAGUGUAAUUUAAACAAGUGGGGCAGUAAGUAAGGCUAAAGCUUGCUCUCUUUUUAGGUUCAAUUUUUAACAGAAUUCAGUUUCUGUUUCUUUUAAGUAUGUGACAUCCCAACAGCUGCCAUUAAGGCUUCAGCUCUGUCUCCUGCACCCUACCUUUACUUUCUGUUUAGGCUUUUGACCCAGCUCAAGAUUCAACUCUUACUUUUUUUGUCAAAUGCUAUAUUUUCUUCUUGCUUUCUCUUGCUCUGGUGCCUCUGGACAGUAGUAUAAUUCUGACACCAAUAGUUGUUAUAAAUAAUAUAGUUCCUGCUCUGGGGAAAGAAAACUGGACUAAGGGAGGCAUUAAGCACCGAAAAUAACAGGAAUGCAGCAGAUCUGUCACGCAAGACUGCCAUCCCUAGCUGUUAAUGGGCACAGAAGUUCAACUUGAUAUGUGUCUACUCAGAGCACUGCCUGAUUCUAUCUUCACAUAGCAGUUAUUACCCUCGGGGACAAAUUAUGUCUUGCAUUGUGCACUCUCAUCCCUUCACCGAAGACUUGACAGUCCAUCCACCUAGGAAAAAACAUAUACUGCACUUAGUUUCACAGAUAAAGCAGUCCAGAAGAAACUGCAUGGAUCUUCAUCCUAAUUCAAAGUUUAAAGGAAAAGUCCAGCUGGAGAGGACAAGUCAGGAAAUGAGAGACUCAUGAGAGAGACUCAAUGGCAUAGCUGUAAAUUCAAACCAGAAAACUCAGCUCGCAGUCCUUGUAAUGCUGCCUGCACUCUGCAAAUCAGCGUUUCCAAAAAAACCUGUUCUGGACUCCAUAUUAAAAAAAAAAAAAAAAAGUAGAAAAAAAAAAAGUAGAACACAGUUAUGGGAAUUAAAACUCUGUUUCUUGGCACUGUGUGAAGCUCCAAGUCUUCUAUGCAGUGAUCAAUAUUCAAGAGUCACUACUACUCACAGCCAUCGCUCACAAAUGAGAGAGUGAUUAUUUCUUCUCCUAGAUAUUCAGAAGAGAGCAGAAUUGUAUAUAAUGCUACCACUUUGACUGCAUCUGGACAACAAAUAUCAGUAUGGGAUCCUUUUGUCUGUAUUUUUGCCGGUCACUGCCCGCAGAAAGUUUCAUAUUGCUUGCAGGUUUUUUUAGGGUCCGAUGGCAAUCAAUCACUUGACUGGCAUUUACAACCUAUAGUCUUGGCUAUAAAGAGCAAAAGGAUGAAGCCAGCAUUUAGUAUAUAUAUGCUCUGUCAUUUCAGACAUGGGUUCAUUUGUAGAUGAGGUAACUAGGCUGUCAUGAUAAUUCUUUGUUUCUACUACUUGCAGUUCAAGACAGUUUGAGACAAAUGUUGAGUAUAUGUGCAUACAUGUAUAUACACACAUAAUGCAGUCAUGUCCUUAAUAUGAUCAAAACCACUGGGCAAGAAACCUUAGGUUCCAUUUUUCUCUUAUACAAACUGGUUCAUUUAAUUUUCUGUAUGAAUAACCAUAGAUUGCAAUUAAUCCCAGAGAACUGCAGGCAACUUAUUUUAAACUAUCACCCUUCCAUCAUUAAUUGAGGGGAAAAUGGGCAUCUUAAAACAUUGCUUCAUCCCUUAAGUGUCUAACAUGGAUGCAUAGGUACAGGAUACAAAAUGUAACCAAAUCCUUGCUGGUCAGGCUGAGUUGUCAUUAAUGUCAUAAUUUUAUUUAGUAACUCUUCCAGAAAGUCAAUAUUACAGGUUCCAAAAAAUUGUACAUUUACAGAUAUGGUGUGAUGUUUUCUGCUUUCUUCUUUAAGGUGUCGUACAGGACCUUUGUGGAUUCUCUGUCUCUUUUCAUAAGACUUACACAAGCUUCUCUUUCUCCAGGGGUCUACUUUGAAUAGUUUUUCUAUCAAAUUUUAUAGCAUAAUGAUUUCAUACCUGUGUUUUAACUCGACCUUCCCUUUUUUGAGAACCGUUGUUUGAAUCUGGAUUUCAAAUAAGAAGUAGAGGUUGUUUUUUGUUGUUUCUAAUCUAUAUAUAUUAACAAAUAAACUAAAUAUUGAUGAGUUUGAAAUCAACGAGAGCAUUAAGGGGCAACAUAUUUUGCUAUCCAGCAUAAUAAAUGAAAUAUUUUUUUCUUUGGUGUAUGUACAGCUGUCAGUGAAAUUUAUUAUACCUGUGUAUCUAAGGGAAUAACAUGAAAAAUCAUACAUUGUUACAUAUGUUGAGCACCAUAUUCAUAUUUCUGUGUUGAUUAACCUAAUUUGGAUGUCCUAACUUAAUUAAUACAUCACUUUAUUUAAUUUUGUGAAUAUCGUUCUAAAAAAAGAGAUGAAAAAAAUAUACAAAAAGAGAAAAUGGUGCUCCU